AUGCCGCCCGGUCCUGGGGACAGAGCUGUGUUGCUUGUGCCCCUCGGUUGCCUGCUGCUGCCGUGGCAGGGACGGCAUCGCUCUGCGAGGCCCCUGGGCACCCCGGGCUGCUGCCAAAGACCCCCCUUUCCUGCCAGGUGGCUGCACGGGGUCAGCUCUCCUCCACUGGCAGCUCUUGGGCAUGUUUCAGGGAGGUCAUCGUGUGCCCAUGUGUGCUGGGACCCCGGGGGGACGCUGGCAGCCCCCCCUUUGCUGGAGGACCCCUGCUCUGCCGCAGCCAUGGUGAGACUGGAGCAGGGAGCUGCCCUGGGCACCCCAGUGCCCAGCUGCCACCCCCGUCCUGGUGCCCCUGUGCCCAGGGCAGGUUGCCCUCCCCAUGGGCUGGCCCGGCUAGGAAGCCCCGUGCUGCCUCUCCGGGCCAUGCCGGUGCUGGGGCGGGAUGCGCCGUGCCGGGAGCGCGGGGAAGGCCUCGCUGGGCCAACGUGGCAACGUCACUCCUUGCAAUGGGGCUGCGAUUUGCACCGCCUUCACCUGGGCCCAGCCUGCCUGGAAAAACCCUCCCCGGCUCGGUCCCCUCCUUGCCCGGGUGCAUCUCCCUGGCUCGUGCCCAUCCUGGGGCAGGGGGGAGGCGGGAGCACCCUGGGACCCCCUUGGCGCAGCGCCGGGGGCUGUUGCAGGGCAGUGGGGGCACGGUGCUGGGGGCAGCCUGGGGAGGGGGUAUCUCCCUUCCAAGCCGUGCCAAGCUGCCGAGCUGCUGGCAUGACGGAGGGGUGGUUUGGUGCGGGCACCGCUGCGAGGCACCCGGGCUGGCGAGGCGUUCGCCUCCGUAAAGCUGCUGGCAAGGCUGGAAGCCGAAGGGCAUGGGAUGCUCCUGCCUCCACCUCCCUGGCAGGUGCCUGGCCAAGGGAAAGCGUCCUUGCAGGCGUUUCCCACCACUCCCCAGCCCCGCGGGCCCUUCGGGGUCCCUGCCAGCCCACGGCACGGCCGUGGGGGAAGAGGGCCUGGAGGGACGGCGUGCUGGAGGCGAUGGGGUGGGCUGGAGAGAGGAGCCGUCCGUGCCGGGGGCCUCGGGUGCCCAGUGUGCUCCCAUCCCCGCGGCCUGCAAGGCGGCCUGGUGGGGAGCAUGGCAGCGCUGCCCUCAGCCGGCAGCCCCACGGCUCGGCCCGUGCCCGUCCCUGCGGCCGUGCCUGGGUGUGCUGGGCGGCCGUGCUGCGCGGGGCCAUGGCUGGCACCCAGGGCAGGGCUGGCGGGGCGGCACAGGCUACCGCUGCUCGCCCUCCUCCUGGUGUCCUCCUGAGCUGUGGGAAAUGCUGGAGGGGGGCAAAACCCAGAGUCUGGCAGGUCUGUGCCCCCUAA
rnacentral:lncRNA from 1 species